CAUAAUUUUGAAGAAAUUCGUUCAUAAGAAAUAAUAAGUAAUGUGUUAUGGAAGAUGUGACGACGAUCAGGGUGGUCCUCUCUCACGAUUCAAGAAACCUCGUUCUGGAACCGAUGUAUACACGGUACACGCGUCGUCAACGGAGCCGUCGACGUCGUGGAUGCUGCCAGAAAGAAAGUUGAUCUGAAAAUCAAACAAACAACCGACGCUGCGUUUCUGCACUUCCGUCGUCACCGUUUGUUUAUUGUCACUGAGAGAUCGCUGUUUUAGAAAAAUGGAUGGACAUUGAUUAAACAAAUUGAAGAAAACAGUUGUCUAAUAAUCACAUCUGUUCCUGGAUUACGAAUACGAUAAAUUUGAACCGGUGAAACUAACAGCUGGAUUAGUGAAUGUUGUCGUGAUGUCAACGAGGAGCUUUCAUCUUCUAUCUUCAAAGAAAAAAAUACGAGUUGUUCAGAACAUUCAUUCACAAGAAGUCCGGAAGUGAAAAAAUAGCGAGAGCCAAAAAGCAACAAAACCUGUCAGAAUGUUCCUAGACUUAUUGUCUCCACAUUUUUGUUACGGCUUAGUAUGCAUGUGCGGAUUCUAUACGCAUUUCAGAAAUAUUUCUACUUCAAACACACGUGUUCACCAUCAGACAAGAAAAGAGAGGUGAUGAAAUCUGGAUUGAAUUUCUCGAAUUAACGUCUUCGAGGGGGUAUUAGACCCACGUGAAUAACGUGGACCCUGAUGCUGAGAUCGUGAAUUAGAAAAAAAGGGCCUCACGGGUUGUUAUGGCAUGGAUGGGCCUCUGGAUUCCUCAGUGGGGGUUCCUCGGACAUUUCUUUCGUUUCUCUUACCACUCCCGACGAUCCAUUGUCAUUUCUCCUCCUCACUGUCAAAAAUGAAAUUGGAGAAUACUGGGUCUGAUGAAUUCAGGAGAUUCUAAGGCACGGUUUAAGAGGUCAAAUCUAAACGAUCCUAGUUCUUGGAAGGAGAGAGCCAUCAGGACACGCGACACUUCCCGACUCAGAGGAAGCGUGUUCUUUUUUAUUUUCUCUUAUGCAUGGAACCCCAUGGUUACGAACCACUGAAAUCAUACUGAUGAUAGAUUCAUCGUUAUUAUUUCAGCGGAUUUUAUACAUGUUAUCAAUUAGUAUAAUUUAUAAAAAUUGAAAAAAAAAAUAAUUUCUUAGAAUAAAUUUUAAAAUACAGUUA